rnacentral:rRNA from 1 species
AACGUAGGAGGCAAGCGUUAUCCGGAUUCACUGGGUUUAAAGGGUGCGUAGGUGGGCAGGUAAGUCAGUGGUGAAAUCUUUGGGCUUAACCCGAAAACUGCCAUUGAUACUAUUUGUCUUGAAUAUUGUGGAGGUCAGCGGAAUAUGUCAUGUAGCGGUGAAAUGCUUAGAUAUGACAUAGAACACCAAUUGCGAAGGCAGCUGGCUACACAUAUAUUGACACUGAUGCACGAAAGCGUGGGGAUCAAACAGG